rnacentral:rRNA from 1 species
CGAUGAAACUUAAUGAUUUCUUCGGAAUGAACUUAAGUGGAUUAGUGGCGGACGGGUGAGUAACGCGUGAGUAACCUGCCUUACACAAGGGGAUAGCCGUUGGAAACGACGAAUAAUACCCUAUGAUGUUUCUAUCUCGCAUGAGAUAUUAACCAAAGUGCUAGCGGUGUAAGAUGGACUUGCGUCUGAUUAGCUAGUUGGUGAGAAAAAAGCCCACCAAGGCAACGAUCAGUAGCCGGCUUGAGAGAGUGUACGGCCACAUUGGGACUGUGACACGGCCCAGACUCCUACGGGAGGCAGCAGUGGGGAAUUUUGCACAAUGGGGGAAACCCUGAUGCAGCGACGCCGCGUGAUUUAGAAGGCCUUCGGGUUGUAAAAAUCUUUUGUAUAGGAAGAAAAUGACAGUACUAUACGAAUAAGGUCCGGCUAAUUACGUGCCAGCAGCCGCGGUAAUACGUAAGGACCGAGCGUUGUCCGGAAUCAUUGGGCGUAAAGGGUACGUAGGCGGGUCAUUAAGUUAGAAGUCAAAGGCUAUAGCUCAACUAUAGUAAGCUUCUAAAACUGGAGACCUUGAGUAAUGGAAGGGAAAGUGGAAUUCCUAGUGUAGCGGUGGAAUGCGCAGAUAUUAGGAGGAAUACCGGUGG